GGGGUGCAUAGCUCAGUGGUAGAGCAUGUGCUUGGCAUGCACAAGGUCCUGGGUUCAAUCCCCAGUGCCUCCA
rnacentral:tRNA from 1 species